rnacentral:rRNA from 1 species
CCUACGGGAGGCAGCAGUGGGGAAUCUUCCGCAAUGGGCGAAAGCCUGACGGAGCAACGCCGCGUGAUCGAAUGAAGGCCUUCGGGUUGUAAAGAUCUGUUGACAGGGACGAAUAAGCAAUGCAAAUAGUUUUGUGUAUGACGGUACCUGAAGAAAAAGCAUCGGCUAACUCCGUGCCAGCAGCCGCGGUAAUACGGAGGAUGCGAGCGUUAUCCGGAUUUAUUGGGUUUAAAGGGUGCGUAGGCGGAAUGCCAAGUCAGCGGUAAAAUCGCGGGGCUCAACCUCGCUCCGCCGUUGAAACUGGCGUUCUUGAGUGGGCGAGAAGUAUGCGGAAUGCGUGGUGUAGCGGUGAAAUGCAUAGAUAUCACGCAGAACUCCGAUUGCGAAGGCAGCAUACCGGCGCCCAACUGACGCUGAAGCACGAAAGCGUGGGUAUCGAACAGGAUUAGAUACCCGGGUAGUC